ACCUCUCGCGGAUUCCCUCUAUAAUUAGGAUUUCCGUUUUCUUUCUACCACCUCUUCUGAUUUCUGAUGCUUACGUUUUGGUUCUGCAAUCAAGGCUUCAGUUUCGAUUCCACCCCUUCUUCUAGCCAGGUUAGAUCUAUGUAGACAUCUCCCCCUUUUGUUGGAUUGUCCCACUUUCAGAGUUUCAGGCUGUGAUAAAAUGUUGCCCUUCAUAAUUCGCCUGCGCUUGCCAUGUUUCGUUCGCAAUUCAUGGUCGCUUGACUUGCUAUCCCUGUUCCAUCAAUCUGCGCUUAAUUAAAUCGGCGAGGAGUUGGGCAUGGAGGAGCAUGUCUUUCAUAUGCAUUGUGUUGAAGUUGCCUCUUGCUCUCUCCUUGAUUCGCUUGCAGGUACCACCAACACGGUAGAGGAGAUGAAGCAGGCCUUUCCUUUUUCAUGGAAUUUUCAGAAAUCCCCAACCUAAAUCAAAUCAUGUGCAUCUCUAAUUUGGAGAGUGUUGUGAGGUUUUCUCAUGUAGAUUUCACAUAAAAGAACACAUUUGCAAGGUUGAUCCUAAUAUUGGGCUUCCAAGGUCGUUUGUAUACAAAUUUUAUCGAGAAUCGUUUGAAAAGGAUUUCAACCUGCCAGCUUUCCUUUCACUCCUAUUUGCAAAUAUAGGCCAGAUGAGGGAAUUACGGUGCUGAAUCGCUGCUUCUCCUCGAAUUUUUCUAGAGAAACUGAGCAAGUGUCAUCCAAUUUUGUAACACUUGGUAUUACCAUUGAUGAGAACAAAUAGAUUGAUAGCAUAAAAGGUCAUUUUUGGGAUUAAUUCUUCCCCUUUUGUCCAGGAAAUCCAUAUUUGCUAAUAUUUUAUUUUCAGAAUUCCCCUUUCCCUUCGAAAGAUUCUACCUCUCAUGAAUUGGUGUUUAAGGUAAUUGUGUUUUGAUUGAUAGUGAAAGCAUAAUGUGCUCAAAUAAACGUAUGAAUUGAACGACUAGAGACAAGAGUGGAUUAUAAAUGUUUAAGAGGGCUACACAGUUUUGAGGGCUACACAGUUUUGUUGUCUUUGGUUUAUUUUCCCCCUCUAUUUAAACUGUAUUAGAAGUUUAUUUUCAUGUGUUUUGAAAGAAUCCAGUUAUAUAAUUGGGUUUCUUUGUUUAUGUAUUUUAUAUUUUAUCUUAGAAGAAGAUGAACAUGAAGGUUGUGAAAUAUGACACAAUAGGUGUGGGGUAUUCUGCACAUUUAGUAUUUGCUGCCUAUUAAAUGGCCAUUUAGCUGAAUUUGUUUUUAUCACUUCCUAAUUCCUAUAGCUCUGCGUUAGUUAGCUUUGCACCAUUGACUUGAGUCUACUGUGGUAAUUGAUUUUCCUCUGUGCAAUUUGUGAUUCUGGGGCUAGAUAUUUUAUUAUUCUCCCCUCUUUUUUCUUACGUGGGUGAUAUUCAUUGUGCUUGCUUAUACUCUUCACUGAUAUAGUUUUAAUUUGCGUGGAAUGAUGCAUCAGAAAGAUGGAUUUGCUAACACAAGAGUCAUAGUAGUUAUCCUAAUAUGCAAUGCAAGGGUCAUUAAAUACAAGUUAUCCUCUAGGUGUUUCCUUUAAUAGACCUCAAGGUAGACAAAUGCCCAUGAUGCAAGAAGGGUAUAAUCCUUAUCAGCUAUGGACCUUUUUUUGGCUCUUCAUCUCAACCAGUUAUUGCAGAGAGUAAUCCAUGAGAGCAAAGUCAUUGUUAGAAAACCAGCAUUUGGCAUCUCAGAUUUAUAAACCACUUCAUAAACUAUGUACACUAUUUUUUGGCAGUUCUGUAUUAUAUUAUUGAUCACCGUGAGUAUCUUAAAUCCUUUAAUUUUUUCAA